UUUAACUUACGUCCGCCUUAAAAAUAAUUUUGUAGAAAAUAUCAAAAUCGAGUAGCAAAUAUUUGUUUUUCUGUAGAAAAUAUCAAAAUUUAGUAGCAAAUAGGAAAAUAUCAAAAUCCCUCUUUCAGUAGUAAAUUGGAAAAUCCUUAAUCCAAACCGUAACUGCAAUUUGUAGCAAAUCGGAUUUCUGUAUAAAAAUCUCUCAAUUAGAACUAGAAAUUAGAGCUCCAAUUUCUCAAUCGUAACCCCAUUUCUCCUCAAUCGUAACUCUGACCGUAAAAAGAGGAUCAAAAACCUAUAUCUCUUCAAUUGGGUUUCCAUCGUAGCUCCCUCGGCUUGCUGUAAUUUCCAUUGUUGUUGUUCUGUUGUGAUAAGAGUGGAUUGAAACUCAACACUUAGCUUGUUAUUGACUGGUGUAAAGGAUACGGAAAAGUUACUUUCGGAUCUCCGACGAGUCAGAUUUUCACAUUUUAAACAUUACUGUUUAAGAAUUUGGGGAUUUUAAGGGGAGCCUUGGCAUAACCGAUAAAAUUAUUUCCUGGACCAAGAGUUUAUUGGUGCAAGCCAUGAAAACAAAAGAGGUUAUUGGUGCAAGCCAUGAAAACAAACUCUUGCAAAAUGCAGGAUAAAGCUACCUAAUAGACCCUUGUGGUCUUCUCCAUUUUUCUUGAACCCUGCAUAUAGUGGAAGCGGACUGGAAUUUUAUUUUCUAAGGUGUUGGCACUGACAAGAGAAUGUGAUUAUAGAAAGAUCCCAGCAAUCACUUUUAGCUAAAUGCCAUGACAGGCUAGCUAUAUCUAUAGAGAAUAUUGUGUAUUACCUCCUAUGUCAAGUAAUCAAUCAUUUAAAAAAAGUUGUAAUUUUUGGCUUUGCCUUUGCCUGCAUGCUUCAAUGCCUUUGCCUCUAAUUUUUGGCACUGUACCUCACCUCAUCAUUCUGAUAUACCUUUUCCAGACUGGUUUUUCUGGGCCUGGCACAAGAUUUAUGCAGAAGGAUAUGCAUGGUCAGUGAUCUUGAAGUAUAUCAUGUGGUUCUCUUCGCCUAAUAAUCAGCCCACAUUAUUAGGAUUUCUUUAGUCGCGGUCUCAUUCCAAAGAAAAAUUACUUUUCAAUUCCUUCAUUUGAUUUAUGUCUUUAUAUAAUGGCUGCAGUUUAUUGGGGUAAUGCAAAUCCAUUGGAGGUAUGACUUUCCGUGGACUAUCACAAAGUACGUACCUUUUUAUGGUAGACCAGAUUACCAUGACUACCAUCACUGUGUUGGGGGCCAAACCCAGAGCAAUUUUACUUCAGUUUUCACUUACUGUUAUUACAUAUAUGGAACUGAUAAGGGCUAUCACUAUCAAAAGAAAGUCCUCCAGGAAGUAGUGCUACUGUGACUACUUGCUGCCCUCUUGGAUAAUAAUUUAUUAUAUAAGCACCAUAAUGUUACCUAACAAAUUUCUAUUACUUGUCAUCAAUAAUGAAACUAAUAAACUUUUCCAUAUUGUUCAAGUUAACAAAGUUCUAGGUGUUAAUGUUUAUUUUUGAAUCUGUGCUUCUUUGGCAGAAUGAAGUUUGCCUUUUAGUUGAUGAUGUUGUGUUUACGCUGUUAAAGGGAGCUUCAAAUACCAAUGGUGAACAAAAUGGAGGUUCAACAACAUUUGCAAAAGAUUGCAAAGAUGACUAAGUCGUAGAUCUUCAAAGGCCUUGUAGUGCAAUAGCCUGGUAAAGCUUCUCUGAAGCAUCAUUUGUUUUAGGUUGACCACAUUUGUUGGUCAUAAUGUGUUAAAGAAGUAGGUAAGAAGUUUACUUCAUUGUACUUACGAGUAGUGCUCUUUGUUGUCGAUGAGGAGGGUUUAGACCCCAUAUUUUGUAUGCGGAUAGUAUUCAUGUGUCCUUUCUAAUUUGUGAUGUGUACAUAGUGUUACAAUUUAUUAUGUAUGUAAAUAAAAAUUUACAUUAAUACAAGUGACUAUUUUAUAUAAA